rnacentral:rRNA from 1 species
UACGGAGGAUGCAAGCGUUAUCCGGAAUGAUUGGGCGUAGAGCGUCCGCAGGUGGCGAUGUAAGUCUGCUGUUAAAGAGUGAGGCUCAACCUCAUAAGAGCAGUGGAAACUACAUAGCUAGAGUACGUUCGGGGCAGAGGGAAUUCCUGGUGUAGCGGUGAAAUGCGUAGAGAUCAGGAAGAACACCAGUGGCGAAGGCGCUCUGCUAGGCCGUAACUGACACUGAGGGACGAAAGCUAGGGGAGCGAAUGGG